AAUGAACGUUGGCGGCGUGGAUUAGGCAUGCAAGUCGAGCGAGAAACUUUUUUUCGGAAAAGUGGACAGCGGCGAAAGGGAGAGUAACGAGUAGAAACGUACCCCGAGGCUCGGAAUAGCAGAGAGAAAUUUCUGGUAAUGCCGAAUAAUGUCUCCGGACCAAAGGUUUACCACCUGGGGAGCGGUCUGCUUUCUAUUAGCUAGUUGGUGUGGUAAUGGCUCACCAAGGCAAAGAUGGAUACCGGGCGUGAGAGCGUGACCCGGCUCACUGGGACUGAGACACUGCCCAGACACCUACGGGUGGCUGCAGUCGAGAAUCUUCCGCAAUGGACGAAAGUCUGACGGAGCGACGCCGCGUGCUGGAUGAAGGCCUUCGGGUUGUAAACAGCUGUCAUAGGGGAGGAAAUUUUGACCGAUCCUAAGAGGAAGCACAGGCUAAGUUCG
rnacentral:rRNA from 1 species